AGGAGACCUUGGAGUUGUUGGAGUUCUGUGCUGGAAGAUAUUCCUUGGUUGUCGCUCUUGAAAAUCGUGGUGCCAGCCUCAGAAGAAAGACCGAGGGUUGAAUGAAUGAUGGAGGUGUGCAGAGAUUGGGAAAUGCCCCAGCUGGGAUGAAUACAUCCCUCCUGCAUGCAUCUGGGUAUUGGCGUAAUCAAGCCCGAGUGGGAGCUGCUGGGUGCUCGAAUGCAUUUGAAACCGGUCCCAGAGGUCAUGAUCCGGGAUGUCAAGGCUUGUACGUUAUUAUUUAUCAUUACUAUUGCAGUAGUAUUUGGAGACCUCAAGGGAGAUUAGGUACUGUACAUCCACAGAGAGAUAAUUCCUCCUGCUCUUAACCGCUCGCAAUCUCAAUCGAGAACACAGAUGAAAGGACUCCUACUAUCUCUGAGUGGCAGAUGGAGAAGCUGAGGUCCAGAGAGAUUUAAGUAAAUGCCACCGACACCCCUCGGCACCGGCACACCAAACCCAAAAACGGAAGGAGACCAUGUUACUACAGCCCUCAGGAACCUAGACUAUUCUGUGCCAAGAUGCACCAGUGCUCAAGCCCCCCCGCCACCAUCUCUGCCUCUGCAUUUCCGGUGGGACCUCGAGCAAAUCUCUCGACUUCUCAGCGUGAAGGCCUCUGGCAAUGUGUACCGAGAACGCUUCCCUGAAUUGUAAAUUUACAAUAGCUGGGGAUCUGAGCCACCCUGAGCACUGCUGAAGGGUGCGAAGGUGCUUUAAUGUAAAUUAGAUUCAGGCCCAAGGUGCAGGGCAAUGGGCCUUUCAUGGGAAGCCACCGCAAGGCGUGCAGCCUCUGGGCACGCAAUGCUUUGCGCUCAUGCAUCGUGAUUUGAAAAGCACACUAGCGCUC